rnacentral:rRNA from 1 species
UACAGGGGGUGCAAACGUUGCUCGGAAUUAUUGGGCGUAAAGCGCGCGUAGGCGGCUACCUAAGUCGGAUGUGAAAGCCCCUGGCUUAACUGGGGAAGUGCACCCGAAACUGGGUAGCUAGAGUGCAAAAGAGGGUCGCGGAAUUCCCGGUGUAGAGGUGAAAUUCGUAGAUAUUCGGAAGAACACCAGUGGCGAAGGCGACACACUGGCCCGUUACUGACGCUGAGGCGCGAAAGCGUGGGGAGCAAACAGG